ACGGGGGGGGCAAGCGUUGUUCGGAAUUACUGGGCGUAAAGGGCUCGUAGGCGGCCAACUAAGUCCGACGUGAAAUCCCAAGGCUUAACCUUGGAACUGCGUCAGAUACUGGAUGGCUUGAAUUCGGGAGAGGGAUGCAGAAUUCCAGGUGUAGCGGUGAAAUGCGUAGAUAUCGAGAGGAACACCUGCGGCGAAGGCGGGUUGCUGGGCUGACACUGACGCUGACAGCGCGAAAGCUAGGGGAGCGAACGGGA
rnacentral:rRNA from 1 species